GAUGAAGAACGUAGUGAAAUGCGAUAAGUAGUGUGAAUUGCAGAAUUCAGUGAAUCAUCGAAUCUUUGAACGCACAUUGCGCCCCUUGGUAUUCCAUGGGGCAUGCCUGUUCGAGCGUCAUUUGUACCUUCAAGCUUUGCUUGGUGUUGGGUGUUUGUCUCGCCUCCGCGUGUAGACUCGCCUCAAAACAAUUGGCAGCCGGCGUAUUGAUUUCGGAGCGCAGUACAUCUCGCGCUUUGCACUCACAACGACGACGUCCAAAAGUACAUUUUUACACUCUUGACCUCGGAUCAGGUAGGGAUACCCGCUGAACUUAAGCAUAUCAAUAAGCGGAGGA
rnacentral:misc_RNA from 1 species